rnacentral:rRNA from 1 species
CAGUAGCCACGGUAAUACGUAGGUGGCAAGCGUUGUCCGGAAUUAUUGGGCGUAAAGGGCUCGCAGGCGGUUUCUUAAGUCUGAUGUGAAAGCCCCCGGCUCAACCGGGGAGGGUCAUUGGAAACUGGGAAACUUGAGUGCAGAAGAGGAGAGUGGAAUUCCACGUGUAGCGGUGAAAUGCGUAGAGAUGUGGAGGAACACCAUGGCGAAGGCGACUCUCUGGUCUGUAACUGACGCUAAGGAGCGAAAGCGUGGGGAGCGAACAGGAUUAGAUACCCGUGUAGUCCCUGUCUCUUAUACA